AUCAUCCAAGUUAAUUCUGGAGAGCAAGCUCAUAAUGUACAAAGCCAUUCUAAAACCCAUUUGGACCUAUGGAAUUCAACUAUGGAGAACCGCUAGUAACUCUAACAUAGAAAUUCUAUAAAGAUUUCAAUCAAAAGCCCUGCGGAAUAUUUGCAAUGCCCCUUGUGAACGCUACAAUAUUCGUCUAGCUAAACAUCCGAAUCCUCUAGCAAAUAAAUUGCUAAUAACCUCAGAACUAGUA